GCGGUUGUCUUAUACUCCAGCUUCCCAAGCUUGUGACGCGGGUUCGACUCCCGUCGACCGCU
rnacentral:tRNA from 1 species